UACGGAGGGUGCAAGCGUUAAUCGGAAUUACUGGGCGUAAAGCGUGCGCAGGCGGUUUGUUAAGUCCGUUGUGAAAGCCCCGAGCUCAACUUGGGAAUUGCAGUGGAUACUGGCAGGCUGGAGUACGGUAGAGGAAGGUGGAAUUCCCGGUGUAGCAGUGAAAUGCGUAGAUAUUAGGAAGAACACCAGUGGCGAAGGCGGCUCACUGGUCCGGUACUGACGCUGAGGUGCGAAAGCGUGGGGAGCAAACAGG
rnacentral:rRNA from 1 species